rnacentral:lncRNA from 1 species
ACAUUGGGAAAGGUGCCGAGACAUGAACUUUGGUCUUCUCUGCAAUCCAUCUGGAGCAUUCAGUGACAACAUCGACUUUGAAGUUGCACUGACCUGGCCAGCCCUGCCACUUACCAGGUUGGGCUCUUGAGUUUCUGCUUUCAAGUGACCCUCAGAAAUUCCCCCAUUCACUGCAGAGGUUCUGUUUCUCCUUGCUUUGUUCUGACUUUACGGCAGAACUAAGCUGAUGAGUUAGUUACUAUGGGUUAUCACUUGGAUUUGAAGAACCAUCAUUUCUAGGCAUUGCUGCUCAGAGUGGGUCUGCCCUCAGGGGAAGCUGUCUAACCAGAGCCUAACCCACUAGGGUUUUAUCAGAACCUAACUGACCUGAGGAAAAGAAAUAUUCAACUCCAGCAAGCUCCAGCCUUCCAAAUGGAGGAGAAGAAAACCCAACUCCAGCCCACUUCAGCUAUCUUGUCCCACAUAAAGGGGAAGUGGAAGAAACCUGAGAAGCAGGCAUGAAGUUCACAGUCCAGAGGUACAGACACAUCAGAGUUCAGUAUCUGAUGAAUUAGAUGCAAAAACCUCAACAAAGUAUUAGCAAAUUGAAUUCAACAAUGUAUGAAAAUUAUUACAUGCCAUGACUAAUUGGAAUUUAUCUCAGGUAUACAAGCCAUGCUGAACAUCUGAAAAUCAAUUCAUGUGAUCCAUCACAUUAGCAGACUCAAGAAAAAAAACCACAUUAUCAUAUCAGUAGAUGUAGAAAAAAAAAUUUAACAAAAUCCAGCACCCAUUCACAAUGAAAAUGCCCAGUAAAUUAGAAAUAGAAGGUAACUUCCUCAAAUUGAUAAGGAAUAUCUCUAAAAACCUACAACUAAAAUCAUACUUAAUGGUAGAAAACUAGAAGCCUUCCCAGUAAGAGUAAGAACAAGGCAAAGAUGUAUGCUCUCACCAAUGCUUUUCAACAUCAUAUAUUGGAAGUCCUAGCUAGUGCAAUAAGCAAAAAAAAAAAAAAAAAAAAAAAA